GAUGAACGCUGGCGGCGUGCCUAAUACAUGCAAGUCGAGCGAACGGACGAGAAGCUUGCUUCUCUGAUGUUAGCGGCGGACGGGUGAGUAACACGUGGAUAACCUACCUAUAAGACUGGGAUAACUUCGGGAAACCGGAGCUAAUACCGGAUAAUAUUUUGAACCGCAUGGUUCAAAAGUGAAAGACGGUCUUGCUGUCACUUAUAGAUGGAUCCGCGCUGCAUUAGCUAGUUGGUAAGGUAACGGCUUACCAAGGCAACGAUGCAUGGCCGACCUGAGAGGGUGAUCGGCCACACGGGAACUGAGACACGGUACAGACGCCUACGGGAGGCAGCAGUAGGGAAUGUUCCGCAAUGGGCGAAAGACUGAAGGAGCAACGCCGCGUGAGUGAUGAAGGUCUUCGGAUCGUAAAACUCUGUUAUUAGGGAAGAACAUAUGUGUAAGUAACUGUGCACAUCUUGACGGUACCUAAUCAGAAAGCCACGGCUAACUACGUG
rnacentral:rRNA from 1 species